UCUUUCUUGGUCUAGUGGUCAUGAUUUCCGCUUGUCAAAUGCUAUCUGUUCAACAGCGCGAUUCGCGGGAGACCGGGGUUCAAUUCCCCGAGAGAGAG